rnacentral:pre_miRNA from 9 species
UCUCGAUAGUGUAAAAGUUAACUCAAUUUUGUAUGGAGUUCGAAGGUUUACCUACGUUUGUCGCUAGAGGCACUGUUCCAACUGUAUACAGAUUUCAGUUAACUUUUACGCUAUUGA